ACUCAAAGGAAUAGACGGGGGCCCGCACAAGCGGUGGAGCAUGUGGUUUAAUUCGACGCAACGCGAAGAACCUUACCUGGGCUCGAACGGCUUUGGAAUAUGGCAGAAAUGUCAUAGCCCCGCAAGGGGCCGGAGUCGAGGUGCUGCAUGGCUGUCGUCAGCUCGUGUCGUGAGAUGUUGGGUUAAGUCCCGCAACGAGCGCAACCCUUGUCCUGUGUUGCCAUCAUUUAGUUGGGCACUCUCAGGAGACCGCCAGCGAUAAGUUGGAGGAAGGUGGGGAUGACGUCAAGUCAGCAUGGCCUUUAUGUCCAGGGCUACACACGUGCUACAAUGGGCGGUACAACACGCUGCGAACCCGCGAGGGGGAGCCAAUCGGUAAAAACCGCUCUCAGUUCGGAUUGCAGGCUGCAACUCGCCUGCAUGAAGCUGGAAUCGCUAGUAAUGGCGUAUCAGAAUGACGCCGUGAAUACGUUCCCGGGCCUUGUACACACCGCCCGU
rnacentral:rRNA from 1 species